rnacentral:lncRNA from 1 species
CACUUUACACACAUGGUGUCUUGACUAUAUUUUUUCUUUCCUAUCCACACCACCUUUGUCUUGUCUAAGUUCAUAUGGAGACCAGACAUUUCAGCAUAUUUAUGUAAUAAGCGGAGAGUUGCGUCAAGGCACUCUGGUGAACCGUCAAGAAUAAUUGAUGUGUCAUCAGCAUAUUGAGAGAUCAAAUAUUCAGUAUCAUCUAUUUUAAUUCCCUUUAUAUCUUUAUUUUUUCUAAUUAAUAUUCCAAGUAUUUCUGCACAUAAAAGAAAUAUAUAAGGUGAUAAAGGAUCCCCUUGUCGACAACCUCUUUGAAUUUCAAAGAAUUCAGAUAAAAAACAAUUUUGAGAAACUGCAGAACUUAUAUUUUUGUAAAAGGUUCUUACCCAUUGUUUUAUAGAGGGGCCAAAAUUGAAAAAGUCUAAAACGUCUUCAAUGAAAUUCCAUGAUACAGAAUCAAAAGCUUUUUCAAAAUCUAUGAGAAGGAGCAGUCCUGGUAAAUCAUUUAGUUCUGUAUGAAAUAAUAUAUCGUAAAUAAGACGAGUAUUCUCCCCUAUAAAUCUACCCGGAAUAAAGCCAGUCUGAUCACUGUUAAUAAUUUGAGGUAGAACUAAUUUUAUACGCUCAGCUAUGCAGCUUGAUGCUAAUUUAUAUGUGGUAUUUGGUAAACUUAUUGGUCGCCAGUUUUUCAUGAAUUGUCUCGGUUUAUCUCCCUUUGGUAUACAGGUUAUAAUACCUUGUCUUUGAGUAAUUGAUAAUUCCCCUUUUUCGUAACCAUUAAUUAUAGAACGAAAUACAAAUUUUCCUAUAUCUAUCCAAAAAAACUUGAAAAAUUCAUUUGUGAAACCAUCUGACCCAGGGCUUUUUUCAUUUUUCAUUUUUCGCAAAGCAGUUGUCAAUUCACCAUAAGUAAUUUCACCCUCCAAAGAUUCUCUAAUGGUAUUAUUUAUUUUUUUAAUAUCAGUAUCAGGGAUUUCAUUGUUUAGGUUAACAUUAUUCAAACUUUCUGUUUUAGUAUAUAGCCUUUUGUAAUAAUUGUUUGCUUCUUUUAAUAUUUUAUCUUGCUCACUGAUAGUGUCCCCUUUUUCAUUGACUAAUUUUGGAAUAGUUUUAUUUAUAAAAUGUUUAGUUUCUAAAUUUAGAAAAAAGUUUGAAGGUUUUUCUCCUUCUUCUAUCCAUUGGAUUUUGGAUCUGAUGUAGGACCCCCUCAUCUUUUCUUGUCUUAAUACUUUUAGAUCAGUUUUCUUUUUUUCAGUUUCAAUAAAUAUUUCUUCCGUCAAUAUUUGUUCUUCUAGUUUUUUAAUAUCUUCUGAUAGUAUUCUUUCUUUUUUAUCUUUUUGUUUCUUCCUAAAAGAAGCAUAUGAAAUUGAUUUUCCUCUAAUUUCUGUUAAUAAAGUUUCUAGAAAGAGUUGAUCGUUUAUAGUAAAUUGAAUUUCUAAGUCAUUUAUCUUUUCUAAUGUUUCUCUCUUGUAUACUAGUGAUGCGUAUUGUUCUUUAACUUUAUUUAUAGUCUCUUUAACAGCAGCUGAAUAUUCAAUGUCAUGUAAAAGUGAAUUGUUAAAUUUCCAUAGACCUUUACCAAUUAUAAAGUUAUUCAUCUUUAAAUGUAACAUUAUUGGGGAGUGAUCGGAUCUAUAACUGUUGAGAAUGCGUAUAUCAUGAACAUGUUGAUUAAGGCCUUGCGAUAUUAAAAAGAAAUCCAAUCUUGCUUGUUUAAUGGGAUUAUUUUUUCUCCAUGUAAAUUUUUUUAGUUCAGGGUACAAUUCCCUAUAGGGAUCUGUUAAAUCAUAAUUUUCUAUUAUAUUUAAAACUUUCUCUUUGGCUUUUGGGUUAUUUACAUUUUGGUAAUUAUAAGUAUCAAGAUUUUGGUUUUGGACUAAAUUGUAAUCUCCAGUUAUUAAAACUGAUUGGUUGUUCAAGUCUUCUAUUGUAUCACUUACUCUAGAAUAAAAUUCAGGUGAAUCUUUAUUUGGACCAUAUAAGCAUAUCAAAGUUAUUCUUUUUCCUUCAAUUUCAAUAUCAAUUCCUAACAGAUUUCCUUGAUCAUCUUUUUUUAUCCUAUAUAUCUUGUAUUCAAAGUUUUUGGUAAAAAAUAUUGCUACCCCUCUUUUGUUUGUUGCAAAAGAAUUGAAAAUACAGUCUCCUCCCCAUAGAUUUUUUAUUGAUAUUUCUUCUUUUUCUGAAAAAUGUGUAUCUUGUAAACAAUAUAUGUGGCAAUUUUUUGCUUUAAGAUAAUCAAAAACAUCUCUCCUCUUCUCCUUUGAAUUUAAACCUUGACAGUUGUAUGAAACAAUUUUUUAUACCACUAUCACUCAUUUAUUCAAUUUUAUUUUUAUAGCUGAAUAAUAAAUACUUGAGAUUUGAUGAGAGUAUUGCGACCGUCUUCUCCGAUAGUGUUUUAUAUAAGUAAGUGAUAAUGUAACUCUGAAAUGUCUGAUCUCCUCUACCUUAAUUUCCUGCUGUAUCCUAAAUACAUCAUAGUUUCCAUACAAUAAGUAAUACUGUGUCAAAAUGAAAAACAAAC